rnacentral:rRNA from 1 species
GCCUGGCCCUAAAUCUUGAUGCUUUAUACAACCCAAGCAUCCGCCCGAGAACUACGAGCACAAACGCUUAAAACUCUAAGGACCUGGCGGUGCCCCAAAUCCACCUAGAGGAGCCUGUUCUGUAAUCGAUGAUCCACGAUAUUACCUGACCAUCUCUUGCCUUAUCAGCCUACAUACCGCCGUCUCCAGCUCACCUACACUGAAAGCCCAACAGUGAGCGCAAUAGCCUACCCCGCUAGUAAGACAGGUCAAGGUAUAGCCUAUGGGAUGGAAGCAAUGGGCUACAUUUUCUAGAAUAGAACAUACGGCAAAGGGACUUGAAACUGUCCCUGGAAGGAGGAUUUAGCAGUAAAGUGGGACAAUCGAGCCCUCUUUAAGCCGGCUCUGGGACACGU